rnacentral:tRNA from 1 species
GGGGUUGUGGCUCAGCGGUAGAGCGCUCGCCUCACACGUGAAAGACGCUGGGUUCGAUCCUCAGCACCA